rnacentral:rRNA from 1 species
AGCAGCCGCGGUAAUUCCAGCUCCAAUAGCGUAUAUUAAAGUUGUUGCAGUUAAAAAGCUCGUAGUUGAAUUUCGGGGUUAGUAAGUUGGUUGUGCCACUGGUAUGUACUGGCUUUACUGAUUCCUCCUUCUUGUAGAACCGUAAUGCCAUUAAGUUGGUGUUGCGGGGAAACAGGACUGUUACUUUGAAAAAAUUAGAGUGUUUAAAGCAAGCUAACGCUUGAAUACAUUAGCAUGGAAUAAUGAAAUAGGACGUUCGAUCCUAUUUUGUUGGUUUCUAGGAUUGACGUAAUGAUUAAUAGGGAUAGUUGGGGGCAUUAGUAUUCAAUUGUCAGAGGUGAAAUUCUUGGAUUUAUUGAAGACUAACUACUGCGAAAGCAUUUGCCAAGGAUGUUUUCAUUAAUCAAGAACGAAAGUUAGGGGAUCGAAGACGAUCAGAUACCGUCGUAGUCUUAACCAUAAACUAUGCCGACUAGGGAUCGGAUGAUGUUAAUUUUUUAAUGACUCAUUCGGCGCCUUA